AUUGAACGCUGGCGGCAGGCCUAACACAUGCAAGUCGAACGAGUGGCGGACGGGUGAGUAAUGUCUGGGAAACUGCCUGAUGGAGGGGGGUAACUACUGGAAACGGUAGCUAAUACCGCAUACCAUCAGAUGUGCCCAGAUGGGAUUAGCUCGUUGGUGGGGUAACGGCUCACCAAGGCGACGAUCCCUAGCUGGUCUGAGAGGAUGACCGGCCACACUGGGACGGAGACACGGUCCAGACGCCUACGGGAGGCAGAAGUGGGGAAUAUUGCGCAAUGGGCGCAAGCCUGAUGCAGCCAUGCCGCGUGAAUGAAGAAGGCCUUCGGGUUGUAAAGUGCUGUCGGCGGGGAGGCGUUACCCGCAGAAGAAGCACCGGCUAACUCCGUGCCAGCAGCCGCGGUAAUAC
rnacentral:rRNA from 1 species